GUCUUUAGCCAGUUGGGGAUUUGCUGGGAAAAGCGUUUCAUCUUUCUGGGUCCUGGUGUACUCAUAUGUCAAAGGAUAGAGAGAAUACCUACAGGACACUCUUGGCUGCCAGAUGUACAAACUCAAUUGACAGAAACUUCACUGCUCUCCCGUCAAGUCACACUGACACAUGGAAAAUCCGGUCUUUUUGCACGUGUGAAGCAAGUGAGGCAUGUGGGAUCCUAGCUCCCCGACCAGGAAUCGAACCCGCACCCGCUACAAUGGAAGGCAAAGUCCCAACCACUGGACCGCCAGGGAAGUCCCUCUUCCUUUAUUUUUAACAUUAUUUAAAAUGGAAACCUUUAACCUCUGGCUCAAUUUGAAUACCAGCACCAACUGUCAAUAUGAGAAGGCAUUCAUAAAAUAAAUAAAAUGAAGUUGAACAAAACAAUAAUCAGAUGCGCUUUCAUUCUCGCUGGCUUCUGGUUCUGCUAAACCUCACUCCUGGCUGAACGGGAAUGGA